GCAUUGGUGGUUCAGUGGUAGAAUUCUUGCCUUCAAAGCGGGAGGCCCGAGUUUGUUUCCCGGCCAAUGCA